rnacentral:rRNA from 1 species
UACGGAGGCCGCAAGCGUUGUUCGGAAUCACUGGGCGUAAAGCGCGUGUAGGCGGCUGUGCAAGUCGGGGGUGAAAUCCCGAGGCUCAACCUCGGAACUGCACUCGAUACUGCGUGGCUCGAGUCCCGGAGAGGGUGGCGGAAUUCCCGGUGUAGGGGUGAAAUCCAUAGAUAUCGGGAGGAACAUCAGUGGCGAAGGCGGCCACCUGGACGGUGACUGACGCUGAGACGCGAAAGCGUGGGGAGCAAACAGG